UACGAAGGGGGCUAGCGUUGCUCGGAAUUACUGGGCGUAAAAGGCGCGUAGGCGGAUGUUUAAGUCGGGGGUGAAAGCCCAGGGCUCAACCCUGGAAUUGCCUUCGAUACUGGACAUCUUGAGUACGGGAGAGGUGAGUGGAACUCCGAGUGUAGAGGUGAAAUUCGUAGAUAUUCGGAAGAACACCAGUGGCGAAGGCGACUCACUGGCCCGUUACUGACGCUGAUGCGCGAAAGCGUGGGGAGCAAACAGG
rnacentral:rRNA from 1 species